rnacentral:rRNA from 1 species
CUGGUCGAGCGGAUGAAGGGAGCUUGCUCCUGGAUUCAGCGGCGGAGGGGUGAGUAAUGCCUAGGAAUCUGCCUGGUAGUGGGGGAUAACGUCCGGAAACGGGCGCUAAUACCGCAUACGUCCUGACGGAGAAAGUGGGGGAUCUUCGGACCUCUGGCUAUCCGAUGAGCCUAGGUCGGAUUACCUAGUUGGUGGGGUAAAGGCCUACGGAGGGGACAAUCCGUGACUGGUCUGAGAGGAUGAUCAGUCACAGUGGGACUGAGACACGGUCCAAACUCCUAGGGGAGGGGGUAACGGGGAAUAUUGGACAAUGGGCGAAAGCCUGAUCCAGCCAUGCCGCGUGUGUGAAGAAGGUCUUCGGAUUGUAAAGCACUUUAAGUUGGGAGGAAGGGCAGUAAGUUAAUACCUUGCUGUUUUGACGUUACCAACAGAAUAAGCACCGGCUAACUUCGUGCCAGCAGCCGCGGUAAUACGAAGGGUGCAAGCGUUAAUCGGAAUUACUGGGCGUAAAGCGCGCGUAGGUGGUUCAGCAAGUUGGAUGUGAAAUCCCCGGGCUCAACCUGGGAACUGCAUCCAAAACUACUGAGCUAGAGUACGGUAGAGGGUGGUGGAAUUUCCUGUGUAGCGGUGAAAUGCGUAGAUAUAGGAAGGAACACCAGUGGCGAAGGCGACCACCUGGACUGAUACUGACACUGAGGUGCGAAAGCGUGGGGAGCAAACAGGAUUAGAUACCCUGGUAGUCCACGCCGUAAACGAUGUCGACUAGCCGUUGGGAUCCUUGAGAUCUUAGUGGCGCAGCUAACGCGAUAAGUCGACCGCCUGGGGAGUACGGCCGCAAGGUUAAAACUCAAAUGAAUUGACGGGGGCCCGCACAAGCGGUGGAGCAUGUGGUUUAAUUCGAGCAACGCGAAGAACCUUACCUGGCCUUGACAUGCUGAGAACUUUCCAGAGAUGGAUUGGUGCCUUCCGGAACUCAGACACAGGUGCUGCAUGGCUGUCGUCAGCUCGUGUCGGAAAUGUUGGGUUAAGUCCCGUAACGACCCCACCCUUGUCCUUAUUACCAGCACCUCGGUGGGCAUCUAAGGAACUGCGGUGACAACCGAAGAAAUUGGGAUAACUCAAUCAUCAUGCCCUUACGGCAGGGCUACCACGUGCUACAUGGUCGGACAAAGGUUGCA